GCUACAAACCUGGUUAUCGCUCCGUUUUUAUAGCGGGGAGGAAAGUCCGGACAGCAAAGAGCAACACACCGGUUAACGGCCGGUCCCGGAUUACACCGGGAAGAAAGUGCCACAGAAAAUUACCGUCCCGAUGGCGGGUUUCGUCCAUCGGGAUAAGGGUGAAAACGUGAGGUAAAAGCUCACGUCCCGGCUCGGUAACCUGCCGGGAGGGUAAACCUUGUGUGCUGUAAUGCCACGUAUAUCCUGGUUUGCCUGGCACAUGACCUAUCAUGGGCUGGCAAGAUAAACUGCUCGUUUAUAUUUCCGCGUUAUUGUGGAAUACCGGGAAGGGUAGGCAGCAAGAUUGUUGCAGUAAUGUAACAGCAAGAUAAAUGAUAACCUCCCGUCACAUCACGGGAUACAGGAUCCGGCUUAUAGGUUUGUAGUAUUU
rnacentral:RNase_P_RNA from 1 species